rnacentral:rRNA from 1 species
GACGAACGCUGGCGGCGUGCUUAACACAUGCAAGUCGAACGGAGAGGCCUUGCUUCUUUCGUGUGCUCGAGUGGCGAACGGGUGAGUAACACAUGCGUAACCUACCCUUCACUUUGGGAUAACUUCCAGAAGGUAGGGCUAAUACCUGCUAGGUACUCCUUCUUCAUGGUAGGGGGGGGAGAGUUUCGGCGGCUGGGGCUGGACACGGGGCAUAUCAGCUGGUGGGUGGGGUAGUGGCUUACCAUGGCUGUGACGGGUAGCCGGCCUGGGAGGGUGACAGGGCCCAGUGGGCUAGAGGUACGAGCAGGAGUGAUACGGGAGGAAGGAGUGGGGAAUAGAGGGCGAUGGGCCGAAUGAUGAAGGAGGAACUUCGGGUUGGGGAGGACUGUCAUUGGGGUGGAAAGGGCUUUCGCCUGUGACGAAGAGGGAGUGACGGUACUGGGUAAAGAAGCAACGGCUAACUACGUG